AACGAACGUUGGCGGCAUGGAUUAGGCAUGCAAGUCGCGGAAAUCCAGCAAUGGGGAACCGGCGUAAGGGGCAGUAAGGCAUGGGUAUCUACCCAGGGGUUCGGGAUAGCCACCAGAGAUGGUGGGUAAUACCGGAUGACGUCGUGAGACCAAAGGUCCGCCGCCCUUGGAGGAGCCCAUGUGAUAUUAGCUAGUUGGUGAGGUAACGGCUCACCAAGGCGAAGAUGUCUAGCGGGGGUGAGAGCACGACCCGCGCCACUCGCACUGAGACACUGGCGAGACACCUACGGGUGGCUGCAGUCGAGGAUCUUCGGGCAAUGGGGGCAACCCUGACCGAGCGAUGCCGCGUGCGCGAUGAAGGCCUUCGGUUGUAAGCGCGAAG
rnacentral:rRNA from 1 species